AAAGAACGGGAGGAGGGUUUCUGGAAUGGAGGCUGGUCCAAGAUCCUUAGGUGUUAAAGCAUUAUAUUGCCUUGUUUCUGGUUUUGUGUUUGAGAUCUCGGACCAGGCUUCAUUCCUCAAACCCACGCUCCCGACAC